GUUCUCAUGGGCGCAUCGUGCAGUCAUUCACCAGUCAGCUACAGCGGACCAGAUCGUCCCAGCAACACCAGUCUUCAGGCAAUAUACCUUCUAUAUCGGUGACAAACGCUGAUGGCAUCCCUGCAGUUCCUGAGGGCACCGUCCAUCCGCACUUAGAAAACCUGGCCCAUUGAGUUCGAAGAGUUAGCCAACACUUGUCUGCUGGUCCUUCAUCUAGAGGUGCGUGUCCAAUGUUUCUACUACCUUCUACCUAGGGGAAGCAGCAGGUUCAACACAAACUCGCAGGAUCCUGAUCCCAAGGUCAUGGAACUCAGCAGGGUGCUCACUUCCAUUGAUGAGGCAAUGACAUCCAGUUUGCAGCCUCGCAAGUCCAAGUAUGUAUUUGAAGGGCUUGGCCAUCUAAUAGCGAAGAUCCUGAUGAGCUCAUCACAGUUCCUGGACACAAUAGAUGAGUCUGGU